ACGGAGAAGGAGAAGAAAAAGGAGCCGAAGAACGUUUCUCCUCUUCCUUUCCCUUUUCCUUUGUCUCUAUCAUUUUUUCCUUUUCUUCCACCUUUUCUUCCCCCUUUUUA
rnacentral:ribozyme from 12 species